rnacentral:rRNA from 1 species
CCUACGGGUGGCAGCAGUCGACAAUCAUUCACAAUGGGGGAAACCCUGAUGGUGCGACGCCGCGUGGGGGAAUGAAGGUCUUCGGAUUGUAAACCCCUGUCAUGUGGGAGCAAAUUAAAAAGAUAGUACCACAAGAGGAAGAGACGGCUAACUCUGUGCCAGCAGCCGCGGUAAUACAGAGGUCUCAAGCGUUGUUCGGAAUCACUGGGCGUAAGGCGUGCGUAGGCUGUUUCGUAAGUCGUGUGUGAAAGGCGCGGGCUCAACCCGCGGACGGCACAUGAUACUGCGAGACUAGAGUAAUGGAGGGGGAACCGGAAUUCUCGGGGUAGCAGUGAAAUGCGUAGAUAUCGAGAGGAACACUCGUGGCGAAGGCGGGUUCCUGGACAUUAACUGACGCUGAGGCACGAAGGCCAGGGGAGCGAAAGGGAUUAGAUACCCUUGUAGUC